CGCGUGUAGGGCCGGUGUAAGGCUCUUUUGAACCUUUCAAAGCCCCUGUGUGUCUCUUUCUCUUAGCUCCUUGUCUCUUUCUCCUCUGUCUGUAUGUCUCUUCCCCCGUCUGUGUGUCUCUUUCCCCCAUUCCCCAGUCCUUUUUGUGUGUCUCUUCAAUCCCCCCUGUCCUUUUGUGGUCUCUCCACUUCUGUGCCAGCUUACCUCUAUUUGUAGUGUGGAUCGUGG